ensembl:snoRNA SNORA73 Small nucleolar RNA SNORA73 family
CCAACGUGGGCAUCCAGUGAGAUGGCUCUCGCGUGGCUCUGUCCAGGUGGCGUAUGGGAGCGUAGCACCGCAAGGUGCAGUGACGUAGAGUCCUGUUCCACGACGUUGGAGAUCAAGCUUCCCUCCCCACUGAAAGGCUGGGGAGGGAGGCGUCCUGUAUAUUCCUACAACUUCUCAGCACUUUGUCAAUUGCUGUGAAGACAAACCAUGCAGGACACAAGA